GCGAACACCAGAAGGCCACCGUGGACCACGGCUAACCCGCGUCCAACGUCCAAACUUUCGGCGAGCGAAGGAUGACGUGCGCGGUGCCUGUCUGCAGCCGCGCUUGAUGAUGGACGGGACAGCGAACACCAGAAGGCCACCGUGGACCACGGCUAACCCGCGGCCAACGUCCAAACUUUCGGCGAGCGAAGGAUGACGUGCGCGGUGCCUGUCUGCAGCCGCGCUUGAUGAUGGACGGGACAGCGAACACCAGAAGGCCACCGAGGACCACGGCUGACCCGCGGUCAACGCCCACAUGUUCGGAUCAUUACUGCGGCUCAACGCGAAAAACGACAAGGAAAAUCUCGCGCAUCCCCUUCAAGAGCUACAGGAAGACUUCAAUCUCAAUUUGGUGGAAUGGUCGUCGCUUGGGCUCGUCAGCUGCGUCUUCCUCCGAUCCACCUUCACCAGGACGUGAUCCCUCCAGUUGUUCGUCGGGCUGGACA